rnacentral:lncRNA from 1 species
UGCUUCUAAGUUAUCGUUUUGUAGUUCUGAGUGAUUGUAUUAAGAUAGUUGGAAGUUAUGUGGAGUUAGUUAAGGUAGUUAGACUUGAGUUAGUAAUCAACUAUAGUUAGUUGAUAAGUAAACUAGGGUUAGUAGCUUGGUUAGAAGUUAGAGUUAGUUACUCAAACUAAUCUCUAUAUAUAGGAACAUUACUACACUCAUUCAUGAUCUUUUAUCAAUCUAUUCAUU